rnacentral:rRNA from 1 species
ACGCGAGGAACCUUACCAAGGCUUAAAUGGGAAUUCGAUCGGUUUAGAAAUAGACCUUCCUUCGGGCAAUUUUCAAGGUGCUGCAUGGUUGUCGUCAGCUCGUGCCGUGAGGUGUUAGGUUAAGUCCUGCAACGAGCGCAACCCCUGUUACUAGUUGCUACCAUUAAGUUGAGGACUCUAGUAAGACUGCCUACGCAAGUAGAGAGGAAGGUGGGGAUGACGUCAAAUCAUCACGGCCCUUACGCCUUGGGCCACACACGUAAUACAAUGGCCGGUACAGAGGGCAGCUACACAGCGAUGUGAUGCAAAUCUCGAAAGCCGGUCUCAGUUCGGAUUGGGAGUCUGCAACUCGACUCUAUGAAGCUGGAAUCGCUAGUAAUCGCGCAUCAG